rnacentral:rRNA from 1 species
UAACGCGUGAGGAGCCUGCCUCAAAGAGGGGGACAACAGUUGGAAACGACUGCUAAUACCGCAUAAGCCCACAGCUCGGCAUCGAGCAGAGGGAAAAGGAGCAAUCCGCUUUGAGAUGGCCUCGCGUCCGAUUAGCUAGUUGGUGAGGUAACGGCCCACCAAGGCAACGAUCGGUAGCCGGACUGAGAGGUUGAACGGCCACAUUGGGACUGAGACACGGCCCAG